AGAGUUUGAUCAUGGCUCAGAACGAACGCUGGCGGCAGGCCUAACACAUGCAAGUCGAACGAUAAGCCACCUUCGGGUGGUGGACAGUGGCAGACGGGUGAGUAACGCGUGGGAACGUGCCUUUCGGUUCGGAAUAACCCAGGGAAACUUGGGCUAAUACCGGAUACGCCCUUCGGGGGAAAGAUUCAUUGCCGAAAGAUCGGCCCGCGUCGGAUUAGCUAGUUGGUGGGGUAAUGGCUCACCAAGGCGACGAUCCGUAGCUGGUCUGAGAGGAUGACCAGCCACACUGGGACUGAGACACGGCCCAGACUCCUACGGGAGGCAGCAGUGGGGAAUAUUGGACAAUGGGCGCAAGCCUGAUCCAGCCAUGCCGCGUGGGUGAAGAAGGCCUUAGGGUUGUAAACCCCUUUCAGCGGGGAAGAUAAUGACGUACCCGCAGAAGAUAC
rnacentral:rRNA from 1 species